AUUGAACGCUGGCGGCAUGCUUUACACAUGCAAGUCGAACGGUAACAGGCCGCAAGGUGCUGACGAGUGGCGAACGGGUGAGUAAUGCAUCGGACCGUGCCCAUUCGUGGGGGAUAACGCUGCCAAAGCUGUGCUAAUACUGCAAACGAACUAUGGCGGAAAGCGGGGGACCGUAAGGCCUCGCGCGCUUGGAACGGCCGCCAUCGGAUUAGGUAGUUGGUGGGGUAAAGGCUCACCCAGCCAACGAUCUGUAGCUGGUCUGAGAGGACGACCAGCCACACUGGGACUGAGACACGGCCCAGACUCCUACGGGAGGCAGCAGUGGGGAAUUUUGGACAAUGGGCGCAAGCCUGAUCCAGCAAUGCCGCGUGCAGGAAGAAGGCCUUCGGGUUGUAAACUGCUUUUGUACGGAACGAAACGGUCUGGGUUAAUACCCUGGGCUAAUGACGGUACCGUAAGAAGAAGCACCGGCUAACUACGUGCCAGCAGCCGCGGUAACAC
rnacentral:rRNA from 1 species